UGGACCGUCUCUUCCCGUUUCUUCACGUUGGUGCGCUCACUUGCGCGCCCUCUCACGCGCGCGCCUUCCAUCGUCUUUCUCCGUGCUGCUGGUGGAGUUGCACCCAAGCGCACCGAGGGAGGCACGCGACUGCACACGCACAGGCGCCUUCUGUUCUGCGCCCUUUCCUCACGACACCUGCAACGAGGAUUGCUCAUCAGCUAACCGCGUACACACCUAAACAAAUACGCGCAAGAGGACCGCCUGCGAGGCACUGCAUUCAUGGUCGCCACGCUUUCCCACGCGCCACCACCAGUGGUGGCGAACUUCUACCAGAACAGCUUCAAACAGCUCAGCAUGGUGCAGCAGAAGCAAGUAGGGCUGCUAGUGGGGGUGGCCGUUGCAGACGCGGCAGCGCGCCCGCUGAACGGCUACAGCAAGGAGCAAGUGGAGGCGUAUCUGCGGAACAAGUGCGAGGAGACCGGUGGGACAGCCUUGACGCCAACGGCCGUGGCAGAGACAGAGAUCAGCUUGUUGGCGUUUGCACGCGCGCCACCGCGGGAGAUCAAGACGCGCAGCAGUCCUGCGCACGGCAGCGAAGAUAGGUCUUCAGCCGCGUCUUCAUCGCUGUUGGAAUCUUCGUAUGCCCCCCUCCUCGCCCACUCCUUCACAUAUCAGCUCUACUUUGAGAUGUUGCGCGCAAUGAGCAGCGCGCGCGGCGAGUUCGCGGUAGACUACGUGCAGGAGCGCCUUGUCCGCUCCGCUGCAGCAGUGGAUGAGCAGCAGACGUUCGCUGCCGAGCAUGCGUCGCUCUUGCACACCCUCUGCACCCUGCUGCCCACCCCUGCUAUCUACCCUUAUGCCAGUGAUGCAGCGCUGCGAAGCUAUCUUGAUCCGUUCACUGCGUUCCUCACAGAGUCUCCGAUGCCCCUGCAAGUGGCCGAUGCUGACGGUGCCCAGGGCGACGGCGUGUCGCCUGCUGAGGUUGCUGCCGCCGAGCAGGCGGCGGUGCAGGACUACACCUUCUCUGUACUCGGCGUCGUGCUUCGACAGCUGCAAAGUAACCCUGAUGCCACGCGCAACGCAGCGUUCAUGGCAGUGCCUGGAACGGCUGCGGUAUUCCCGCUAGAUGUGCAGCCUUUCGUGCCGUGCAAGGCGGACACGUCUGCGGAGCCUCGCGCGCGACUCUGCACAGUGCCGCGGCACCUAGCCACUCGCGCCACCUCGAUGAGCUCGUCAGCCAUGACCGGCUUUCGGUGGCUGCCGCAGCGGUCCACAGCGACGGACGCCGCCACGGUGCGUGAGGGACUCAGCAUCGCACAAGCUCCCGUUACGUUUGCACAGGGAGUCGCGCAGGCGAUCCGGCUCGGCGGUCCAACGUGCCAGCGAGCUAUGCUGGUUGGCGCGCUGCUGGGGGCGAAGCUUGGGGUGCGGCACAUUCCGAUGGAAUGGCUGAGCGCCACGGCCGACCACAAGCCCGUGUCCACGAUGGCGCUGGAGGUAGCGCAGUGGAGUUGGAACCCACCACCUCACUAAUGCGUCGAUACGCCGCCCCUGGGAGGCGGCGGACGCUGCGCGCAGAGCCGCAUUCAAGGUGCAGUGUGCACGUAUGGUAGGUGCCUUCUCGCUGUUGCGCACCCCUAUCGGUGCGCGCAUGCAGUGCAGAGGAGAGGAGUCGUUGAGUUGAUCUUCACAGAGGCCGCGGCGCAGGUGACUUACCGCCUCUCUACAUGAGGAGAGAGGCGUAUGCACCCGCGCGUGGCUGCUUUGGUGUGCAUGCAUCUGUGCACGUGGAGAGGUGAGGGGGGGGCAUCGGCGUAAGGGGGCAGGGAUGGGCGUCACGGGACACAGCGAGGCGGCCGCGCGCAAGUGGCAGCUGCGACGGAGCCUGCCCGCCCACUCUUCCCCGUGGGGGUGGAGUCGGGCUCCUUCUUUCUGCCUUAGGCCCCCCUCCCCCUGACACGCCGUUGAAUGAGUACACGUAAAACUGAAACACCCUGUCCACGGAGCAGGUU
rnacentral:misc_RNA from 1 species